rnacentral:lncRNA from 1 species
AUGUCCACUCACUUACCUUUACCCCUUUCAGCUGGCUAUGGCGGCUAUGGUGGGGGCACUGGGGGCUUUUUCCCAGGAGCUGGACAGAAAGCUUCCAAAAGAGGUGCAGGAGGUCCUCUGUUCCCACUCGGAGGAGCUGGUGUUGGAGGAGCAGGAGUUAGGCCUGGAGGAGCUGGAACAGGAUUUGGAGGAGCAGGAGUUGGGCCUGGAGGAGCUGGAACAGGAUUUGGAGGAGCGGGAGUUAGGCCUGGAGGAGCUGGAACAGGAUUUGGAGGAGCGGGAGUUGGGCCUGGAGGAGCUGGAACAGGAUUUGGAGGAGCGGGAGUUAGGCCUGGAGGAGCUGGAACAGGAUUUGGAGGAGCGGGAGUUGGGCCUGGAGGAGCUGGAACAGGAUUUGGAGGAGCAGGAGUUAGGCCUGGAGGAGCUGGAACAGGAUUUGGAGGAGCAGGAGUUAGGCCUGGAGGAGCUGGAACAGGAUUUGGAGGAGCAGGAGUUGGGCCUGGAGGAGCUGGAACAGGAUUUGGAGGAGCAGGAGUUGGGCCUGGAGGAGCGGGAACAGGAUUUGGAGGAGCAGGAGUUGGGCCUGGAGGAGCUGGAACAGGAUUUGGAGGAGCAGGAGUUGGGCCUGGAGGAGCUGGAACAGGAGCUGCAGUGCCUGCUGGAGUUCCUGUUUUUCCUCAGACAGGCCUUCCAGGAGGCCCUGGUGGUGCUGCAGGAAAGAAAGCAUCUAAAAUUCCAGGUGUCGGUGUGCCUGGACUUUACCAAGGUGGAGUGGUACCAGGAAUAGGGUUUGGUGGACGUGGAGUCCUGCCUGGGGUGCCAACUGGGACCGGCCUAAAUCCCAAAUCAAUUGGAGGAGGAGGAGGAGGAGGUCAGGGAGGUCAAGGCCCAGGAGGACGGGGAUACGGAGGGCAGAUGCAGCCAGGAGUCUUUCAUGGAUACCCCCUAAUAUCCCCCAAAGCAGGAGGUCUUGCAGCAAAAGCUGCAGCUGGUAAACUCCCCUACGGUUAUGGAGGCUUCGGUGCUGGUGGACCUGGACUUCCAGGAGGACAAGGUGGCGUUGGGUCAAGGCCUGGAUAUCCUGUUGGAACCGGAGUUGGACCUGGGGGCAUCUCCCCUGCUCAGGCCAAAGCAGCUAAAUAUGGUGGCUAUGGUGGUGCUGGAGGGGCUGGUGGUAUUGGAGGAGCCACGGGUGUUGGAGGUGGUGGUUUUGGAGGAGCUGGUGGUUUUGGAGGAGCCACGGGUGUUGGAGGUGGUGGUUUUGGAGGAGCUGGUGGUAUUGGAGGAGCCACGGGUGUUGGAGGUGGUGGUUUUGGAGGAGCUGGUGGUAUUGGAGGAGCCACGGGUGUUGGAGGUGGUGGUUUUGGAGGAGCCACGGGUGUUGGAGGUGGUGGUUUUGGAGGAGCUGGCGGUGUUGGAGGAGCUGGUGGACUGUUUCCAGGACAGGUGCCAGGAGGGUAUGGAGGAGCCGCUUCCAAGGCAGCUAAAUAUGGUGAGAGCUUUUUUACUUUUUUUGUGUCCUAAAAAAUAAAAAUAAAGGGGGGGGGCUGAGAUCA